AACCAGCACCUCAAGUGGUCAGGAUGAUUAUUGGGCCUAAAGCAUCCGUAGCCGGCUCUGUAAGUUUUCGGUCAAAUCUAUGCGCUCAACGUAUGGGCUGCCGAAAAUACUGUAGAGAUAGGGAGUGGGAGAGGUAGACGGUACUCGGUAGGAAGGGGUAAAAUCCUUUGAUCUAUCGAUGACCACCUGUGGCGAAGGCGGUCUACCAGAACACGUUCGACGGUGAGGGAUGAAAGCUGGGGGAGCAAACCGG
rnacentral:rRNA from 1 species